GCUGUAGCUCAGUGGUAGAGCACCUGCUCUGCAUGCAGAAUGCCCCACGUUCAAUCCCAGGGGUCUGGAACA